GUACGGGCAAAGGGCGUUUGAAAAUCUUGUACAUCCUGAACAUUUAAUUCUAAAGUUCCCCCUGGGGGGGAUGGCCUCUGUGAGCUUGACUAAAUCAAAAUGUUCUGGUUCAAGAAGGAAGAGAUACGUGGGGGAGGGGCCACAAACCAGGCUUCUGGAAAGCUCCUGGGAUUGUCUUCAGGGACCAAACCAGCUGAGGCUUUCUGUCACAGUUCCAGAAUGAAUAACUCACACAACUAAUUAAGGGUAGUCUCGAAUAAUUAACAUCUGUGCAACCAGACAAUUUUGCCUCCGGACCAUUGAGAAGCAAAUCCAAAAGUGAAUGAGCCCUGGGUGCCUCAGGGAGAAAUGCACCCUCCUUUGUACCCCACCACAGACGGUUCUGAGAGGCUUUUCAGGAGGCUCUUCAGAAGGUCCCAGCGGACCUUGCACUGUCACCAGGAGUGGCGGCUUUACAUUCUGUGUCCCACCUUCCAUGUAUCACUCCUCGUCUCUCACUCCCGCUCCCCGGGGGUCACUUCCCACCUUAACUACUCGUGCGUGCACAUGCGCAUGCGCAAAAACGUGCACACGCACGCGCUCGCGCGCGCGCACACAGACGCACGGGGUGAAUGGCGUGGUUUGGUACACCAAUGGUGCUUGCGAGGAGGCGUCUUGUCCCUCAGAGACCCGCCUCUUGGUGAUUAUCACACGUGGUCUCCAGCCUUGUCCCAGGUCCUGACUCUAAGGCUGAGUCCAGUUCCUCCAACCAGCAGUGUUUCCACCUGUGCAUAAGCUGAAGACUGAGACCAACCAUCCUUUUCCUCACAGUUAUUCUUCAGUUUUGCAACAUAUCACAAAUGAGUUUUAUAUUCGUUGGACGACAUCUGGGUCUUCCUACGUGAGGAUUGUGGAAUUACACUCAAGUAUCACGAGACGUAGACAAGGCUGGGAUGAAGCUACAUGAACCCACGGUGGUUUCCUCAACAUUGUGGUUGGCUGAGGCUGAAGUUUCAACAGAGGCUCAACUAGGGAAGAGUUCUCUUCCAAGCUCAUUCACAGAGUUGGCAGAAUUCAUUCCCAUUUAGAAAUCAUGGCAAUUUGCUUCUUCAAGGCCAGCUCGAGGGAGAGGGUUUACUCUUUUUGUUAAGAUAGAUUCUUAAUAAAGAAUAUAAUAC
ensembl:lncRNA